CCUCCACCUGCCUGUCCCCACUCUUCAAAAAGGAAAAAAAAGAAAAGGAGAAAAAAAGAAACAAAAACAAUCAGACCUUGAUCCAAAGCAAAUUCUCCCCCCUGUUCUGGACUUGUCUAGGCAGUUAUGAGGCUGGAGUGGAGAGACAGGCAUCAAGGAGAAGGUUGUCACAGGCCUGGAAAGAUUGGUGAACUGAGCAGAAGGGAUGAGCUAAGAAUAUUUAUUCUGUGUCCCCUCAGCUCUCCGCUGCAAACUUCCUAGUUCAAGGGAGAAUUCUAAAGAUGUAAAUUAUUUUUACAUAGGAAGAAACAGAGUCCAGAGAGGUGCAUGUCUUGAGUAAUGUCAUGUGGAUGGAAAGAUUAAAAUCCAAGAGUUGUUAAACUUGUCCUUUUCGCCGUCCCAAACUUCCCUGAAAGUACCAGGUGUUUUGCUGGGCCCAAGGAAACAGUAAAGUUGAAUAAGAUGUGAUGUAUUUCUCUGAAUAGCUCUGGAUCAAUGGGAGGAGGAGGGCAGAUAUUUAUAGGGCUCUUAGAAAGCUGUGUGGAAGUUGAGACAGGUGUAUUCAGGAUACUGCCAGAGCCAAGUGAGGAGCUACCACCAAGGAAGGACAGGGAACCCUCUGCAGGUCUUUGGUUUCCUUGAAAUUCCAUCAUCUGUGAUCUGGGUUAGAUGCUGAUCAGAAGACAGAACCUCAGGGAAUUAGAACCUCCAUGGAAAUGCUUUAAUGACAAAAACAUUGGCCAUAUCUACAUGACUCUCUCUGUCUUCUUAAUAUGUCGUACGGUCACUGGAAUUCACUUUGGAAGAUUUAUGUCCCAUUCAAGAGGAAUGUCUCUGCAUGGUUUCCAUCUAUUUCAUCCACAUCCAACCCAAGUUUUCUUUUUAAUGGGGGAAGGAACCCAUUUCCCCACUAUCUGUCAGUGUUUAUCUCACCACUGUGGCUUAUUACAGCUGCCAUCUGCU